UUGAAAGUUCCUUUAAGCCUACUUCUGCAAACGUUUCUGAUGUACAAAGGUCUGGUGAGAUGUUGAUGAACAAUAAAACAUUCGAAGAAAUAGUCGUGGUGAAUAUUGUUCUUUUUGGAGUGUGCAUUUUAUUUAUACUUAUGAUCAUCUUCAGAAAGCGAUUUAAUCUACAAUUAUGUCCAAGAGCAAACCAGAAAUCUCGACGGAAUACAAUAACGAGAAAUCCAUUUGAACUAACAGACGGAAAUAACACAGGGAACAAUACAGUGCCUCAAAAUGAAAACAAUUUAGUGCGUGCCAGCUAUACUGAGCCUUGGGAACUACGUCAUAAUAUUGUUCAUAUGGAUGAACUUUACCAGCAGGAUAUCAUAGAUGUUCAAACAGAGGAAACGGAAACUUGAACCUUUUGGACUUACAUAAUUAGUAAAUUGCAGCUGCUACCCAGACUUUAUAAAACGUCAUCAGUGUUUCAGCAAAAAGUUGAUGAACAAGGGUUUUGUCAAAGAACGUCUCGUCCUUUUACUACAAAAAAAUCUUCAGACCUUGUUGAUAAAUAUUCCGUAUCAACUUCACAAAUAAUACAUGAUGGUCUUGAAGUAUAGAUUCCAUGUACUGACGUUGUUUAUCAUCUUAAUUAUGUGUUUUAGUGUUCUUUUAUUUUUCUUUGUAAAUUAUUAACCUUUUUGUUUGGUCAAUUUUUUUUAAUAUCCUUUUGGCGUGGCUCAUUACUUAUGCAUCCCGCCAAUGUGUUGUUGUGCUGUGGUCAUUUUUUGUAUUCUUGUCUUUCAUUUUUGCUUAUGUACUUUGUCAAUUUGCCAUUUUGUUUUUCUUUGUUGACAUAUUUGUUUGUUCAUAUAGUGAUUAAGAUUAUAACACAAUGUUGACUGCUGUACCUCUAUUUUUGACAUUUUUACCUAUUAUGUCUGUUUCUUUUCUUCACACAUUGUUGUCAAUAUAAUGGAAUUUUUUGCGACUGUCAUACAAGUGAGAGGUUUAGCUAGCUAUAAAACCAGGUUUAAUCCACCAUUUUCUACACAAGGAAAUGUCUUUACCCAGUCAGGAAUAUGACGGUUGUUUCCAUUCGUUUGAUGUGUUUGAGCUUUUUAUUUUGCCAUUUGAUAAGGGACUUUCCGAUUUGAAUUUUCCUUGGAGUUCGGUUUUUUUGUUAUUUUACUUUUUAAUAAAAGAGAACUAUUCUGAUUGACGUCACGAACGGCAUUGGCAAUAGUUUUGGUAACGUCAACAGCUUCAUUUUGAAUUCGUCAUUAACAUGAACUUUACGGUACCUUACCAUUCAUGUUUAUUUUUAAAAAUGUAAGUUAUUCAAGCAGCAAAAUGUGAUAGAUCAAGAAAACAUGUUCAUGGUCUUGCAAAGCCGUGUCAAGAAAGUUGUUUGCCAUGUCUACGUUAUAUUUGAUUUUCGGUCUUUGCGUCCGUUCGUCCAUACGUCUGUCCAAUUUCAGUUUUACAUGUUACGGUUUUGGGUUAGGGUAGUUUAUCAUGAAGUUGUGAUCACAUCAAUUUGAAACUUAAAACACAUGUGAAUUAUGAUGUGCAUUUCGACGAAUAUAUUGCAAAUUAUGGUUUUUACUCAGAUUUCACGGUUAAUUGAACAUUGAAAUGUGUAAUUGCUAGAGGGACAGGGUGUCACAGGGACACAUAAUCUUUUCAUUUUUUGGGUUUAAUAUUAAAGCAGUGUGUUGAAGUAUGUUAUUUUAUUUUGCACUUAUGUAAUUACUACUGUGAAGAGUAGAAGGGUUUCAUCGGACUUUCCUGUCUCGUUUAGUAGAACUUUUUAAAUCUUAGUUCUAAUUUCUUUUAUUUCUGAAAUUUGAUUUUCUUAACAUGCCAUCAUGCUGAAUUAAUUUUGCCGAUUACACAUUGUUUCAAAGAAUUACAUGACAUAUCAUAUACGAAUUACUUAAUUUUGAAAGUGGUGCAAACUUUCCAAUAAUAAAAUAAAGUACAUGAUACUUAUUUCCAAAAUAUAUAUUCUAUUGCUAUAUUGUAGGUACAUGUACACUUUCUUUCAUUCUGUAUGUAUUUUUACCUCCAAAUGUAUUCUUGUAGUGUUAUUAUGUUGUUGUGAGUUUUUUUUAUUAGGGCAUACCCUCAUAUCACUAUAUUAAACUGUUUCAGUAGCUUAUAAUAAUAUAUCUAGUAAAAAUGACAAAAUAAUAAAUUGAUAUGUUAUGCUACACUUCAGGUUUAGUUAAUUAACUUGUGCCGCUGGAUAAUCUUCCUAAUAGCGUGCUCGCAUAGAGUGUGGUGGAUAGUUGUUUAAUACUCGGAUGCGUUAAGAAAAGUUGAAAGUUGCUGCUGCGUUGCUACUUUCUCAGUAUUUACGAGUUAGAUCAAAGACAAGUCGGCUCGGAGUUAGAAUACUGUGACAUGUCUUUAUGUGGAAUUUCGCCUUAUUAAAUUAGCUAGCACGUUAAUUCCUACUUAAUGUGUCAGUGUACAAUGACGUAAUUCGGUUUGAGGUACGUUUAAAUGAAGUGACGUAGGAGAAAAGUCUUUUGGUCGAGUAAAUGUACUUUAUUUGGCCUUUUUAACUUUUUUUGAUUCGAGUGUCACUGAUGAGUCUUUUGUAGACGAAACGCGCGUCUGGCGCAAAUACAAAAUUUCAAUCCUGGUUUCUAUUUACUGGUCCGUUGAGAGUAAUUUCUAAACAUGUGUUACACAUUUUGUAGAUUGUAUUAACUUUAGCUAGUUUUAUCGUUUUUGAAAAUAAUUUUGACUUCCUAGAAAAAUGAUUCAGCAUAACAAAUAGGUCAAUGAUAAACUCAUGAGUCAAAUGUGGGUUAUCUCUUGAUAAAACUGAAAUGAUCCACGAGAAAUUUUCAAAUCUUCUUCACUGUCUUUAAGAAAAUUCAAGAUAAGAAUGCAAGGAGCGAAAAUUAACAGAGAAAGUUGUAUAAACAAAAUGACAAGAGCGCUAUGAACCGAAAUUGCUGUCUUUUUAAUAUAUAUCCCAGACAAUGAACACAAAUAGCUAAAAUCUUGAUCAAUUAUACAAAUUAACUGUGCGUUGAUGGGUAAUAUACAUAUAAUUCAGUCCGUUGGCAGUUUGUAACCAUCAAACUUAAGUAAAUUUAAUAUGCCAUUUUCUGUUUUUCUCUUGAGUGAAGUGAUUAAAUCAGUAAAUAUUAAAGGAAGAACAUAUAUAAACAGCAAUGCAUACUCUGUUAGAAUAUUUAUUACAUCGAUGGUAUUUGUAUCGUUUGUUGUCUGUAUUAGUAUAUAUAACUCUUCGUAUAAUUCAUAAAAAUCACUGACGCCGUGUACACGAGCCUUGUUUCUAAUCGUUUUAACCUUUUUUCAGACAUGAUUAAGUACAUGUAAGUACACGUGUUGCAGUUAUCGAGCAAAAUGCAAUGUAUAUCCGCAUUAUAACUCUUUUUAAAUUAAGUUCAUAAUCUAAUAAAAGUAUACAAUUAGUUUAUUUUAUAAUAUGAACAAAUGGUCAUAGAACUAAAAUCAAAAGACUGUGCAUAACUUCCCUUUCAAAACGUUGCACGUGUUCAACUAAGACUUUAUUUCAAUGAUUUUGAAAAUUACUUGUUAAGUACCAAAACUAUUUUGUGUAUUAUUACAAACAAUUUCCUGCAUAAGGUAAUCAGACAAGUACGAGACAGAAGAUAUUUCAAAUCAACCAAAUUAUUUUUUUCUUGUUUUGACCAGUCUAUGUAGCCCUUAUGAAUAAAGAUGAGUGAUAAACAAAUGCAUGAACGUAUUUUAGUAGUAGUUUACAUAACUGUUCAUUACUUGUCAUGUUGUAUAGAUUGAUGUUCCUUACUUGACAUGUUGUAUAGAUUGAUGUUCAUUACUUCUCAUGUUGUAUAGAUUGAUGUUCCUUACUUGACAUGUUGUAUAGGUAAUUGUUCAUAAUUAUAUGUCUUUAUAUAUAAAUACAUGUUCAUCUGGUGGUCCAU